CUUAACAGGAACCACAUGAAAGGCUCCUCCCCAGAUAGGAUUACGGGAGAUCAGCAUUUUAGUAGGUUGUGAUGGAGCACUGGAUACCUACCCCAUGCUGUCUGAAAUGCUCAGAGAUUUGAAUCCACAGAACAGAAGUUAAACGUAGAAAUGAAGGAUUUAAAGUAACCCAGCAUUUGAAACACUGGUACGAUUAAUUCUUCAAUUAUAAAGGAAUUCCAGUAUUUCCAAAAUAAUACUGACUAUUCUGAAACAUUACCCUUCCAAAAGUUUAUAGAAAAACAUGCAAAGGGUUGUCUGGAGCUUAGAUGAUGACUUUAAGGCUGCAUUUUUUAAAAGCAGCAUACUAGUGCAGGUCCAGAGCCUCAGCUACAUCAACAACUCCGUUUGUGUUGGUGGAGAUAUUCCACUAAAUGAAAUAACCUGUCCCAAGGUAUUGCACUGACUGAGACGAGGAAAAAGCACAGGAAUUACCAUAAGGCUGUUCCAAUUUAUAAAAAGUCUGCAAUGGAAAUUUCUCAAAUCAAAACAGAGGUAACUGCAGGAAUGCAGCUUUAUAAACCUGCAAAGGAGAUGGCAAGAUCAAGAACAUCCAUGCACACUGUGUGUGGGCAAUGUUUGUACUGAUUAUCAAAGAGAAAUGACACGCUGCACAUCUAAACAUCACAGUUUCUGACUGUCUUAGUAAAUUUCUAGCAAAUGAGAGCAAAAACUUCAUCCAUACAGAGUACACUAUCACAUCACAACUGUUCCCAAAACAUUCAGGGGAUCACUAAGCAGCCAAAAGGUAACACACCCACACCAUCAGCUCAGCGCUAUCACCUAAAAAAUAUGGGGGUGAAAAACCUGAGGAGCAGAACCUGGCGCCUGGAGCCCAGUGCACUCCACAGGAGCAGCUGCCUCAUCUCUCCAUGCCACUGCUGAGGGAACGCUCCCAGCCUGGCUGUGCAUGACGCAGGGUUUUGCCUGCCAGGAGCUGUAAACAAGGAAUGAUGGCCUCACUGCAUCCCAGAUGCUCAGCGUGCUUUCUCUGUCGAGUGACUGACUCAGGAGAUGGCAGCCAGCACCAGGCCGGGAUGCAGGGCUGCAUCCACGCGAGGCAGCAGCUGCCUGAGAAAACCCACAGUAGCCUCAAAAACUUUGGAAACUUCCAAAAACUCAAGGCUUUUCACCACUUCUGACAGCAGCAGAAUAAAUCAAGGGGCCAAGCUCUGGCUGAGCAAACCUCUCCCACACCAUCUCAGGGAGUGACCUCUGCGGGUGCAGACCUGAGGGCCUGGGUUGGGUUCAAGGCAUCCUGCCCAAUCUCUGAGGAAACCUCAGAAUGAUGGCUCUGAUAGCACUCACUGACUGCAGCUAAAGGAACGUCUGUCCUCCACGUCGCUCACCCCCAGCUCCCACAAGGGCAGAGCAGCAAAUGCAACAUGUCAGGAUGGUGGGAUGUGCCUACAACAUAAGCGUGGGCCAAAGCAGCUGUGUCUGGGGUGGUCUGGUUGGUAAGGGCAGGGAAGCCAGCACAGAAGACAAACUGCCCUCCCCAUCCUAUGCACUGCAGCGUCAGACUCAUGUGCUGCAGGUUGAGGGAUGCCUCCACAUGUGGCAAUGCUAUCUCCAUGCCUACUGUAAACAAACCCCAAAAAUUCAAGAAUUACUGAGAAACAACCACUGCUCCGCCAGCAAGUUCACUGAUGUCAUGACAAUCCCUGCUGAGAAAACCACCAGUUGAUCUUUUCAACCACGAAUCAGAUUCUUAAAGCUGAUUUGUAACCAGAAAAGUCCCAACAAGUGACCUGCGUAAGAAUCGAAGUCAGAGGCUAUGUUUUGCUUUUCAGUCUGCACUAUUUGAGUCCAGCAGACAAGUAGCCUGUCAAAGCUAUUCUGAGUUUGGUUUCUGACUAUGGUUGAACACAAAUUAAAACCUGUAACCACUACUGAUUCCUUAAGUACUAAAAGCAGAUACAGCUUAAAAUCUUCAAAAGAAGACUAAAACACAUCUCAUGUACAGGGCCCAUAUUUUUAAUUGUGUGAAGUCCUGGUAUUUUCACCUUCUAUCCAUUAUUUGCAUUUUAAAUAUAACAAAUUUGUUUAAACCUGAGAUGUAAAGCAACGUCUGCAAUAUACAGAAAAAGACAGCUGGCAUUUGCCUACCUACCAGCACUCAGGGCAAGACACCUAACUUAGCAUUCUUGCAAUACACUGACUUUUGGCAUUAACUAGAUUUUUACAGAGUAUAAAAUGAAUUGACAGAUCAUUUGAUAUGACUUAAUCAGUGUGGUAAUUACACUAGCAUAAUGACUGGACAGCAUCCACUUCUGACUUUUUUGUAUUACUUAAAUUUUUUCUCAUUUGUUAAAGUGUAAUUAAUAGAUGGGUUUAUGGAUGCAUAUACCGUCAAAAUAUAAAUUGUAGCCAAUGUGAGUUGACAGUAACCCUUUGAUGUCAAAUGGUAUUUUUUAUGUUUAUAUUUCCUUUGUUUUCUAAUAGCAGAUCUAAGCCAUUGUGGUCUAUUGUGUAAAUAUGUAUCAUGGGCUUUGUCUGCAGUGCCAACAGAGCAAAUGACUUUCAGAAAUUGUAUGUUCUGUAAGUCCUAAUGAGGUGCUGGGUCAUAAAAGUUAUUACACAAGA